rfam:Ictidomys tridecemlineatus contig018103, whole genome shotgun sequence.
GGGGUUGUAGCUCAGUGGUAGAGCACUUGCCUCGCAUGCAUGAGGCCCUGGGUUCGGUCCCUAGCACCA